CAUGGCUCAGUGGGUAGAGUGCUUACCUAGCACGCAGGAAGCCCUGGGUUCUAUCCCCAGUG
rnacentral:tRNA from 1 species